rfam:Branchiostoma floridae genomic scaffold BRAFLscaffold_296, whole genome shotgun sequence.
ACCACGGCCCUUUUCAGGGCCACCCAAAUCUUUCCCAAAAGGGCUAU